GGAAGGCAAUCGCGCCCGGUGGCGCGGCCGGGCUUCAAACCCGGUUGGGGACGGCAGUCGUUCCCGGGCAGGUUCGACUCCCGCUGCCUUCCGCCA
rnacentral:tRNA from 1 species